CAUGGCUUGACGGGUACCCAGACGCGUCUCACACACGAGUGGCGGCGCUGAGCAAGGCUGCGGGUGACUUUCUCCCUUGGUGCGGCAGGCGAGGCGGUCCCGGGGCUCAGGGGCGGCCAGGGCGGGUCAGGCAGUCAGGCGGAGGCAGCUGCCCCUACUACACGCGCCUGGGUGAACACACUGACUGACUCACACCGCCCGGCGAAACACUGGUGCCCUGCAAGCCUGCUGGACUGACUAACUGGUUGAUUGUUUGACUGAUUAACUGACCGACUACUUGACUGAUUGAUUAACUGAGUGACACAUUACCUGUCAAGACACACAACUAUAUACAUACACGCUAAGCCAUACACAUUAAUUGACCGUCUAACUACCUGACUGGUUGGCCGAUAGACUGACUGACCGAUUACCUGACUACCUGAUUUUCUGGCCGAGUUCGAGGAUCUUCUGCCGAAAGUGCACGUGUGAUAUAAGGCUUUCACAUCUGAUCAAACUUGGUGUUGCUACGAUGUGAUAAGGUGUGAUAAGAUAAACGGUUUAAGCGUCCUCGGAGCGACACAAUGGCGGGGCGGCGGGGCGUGGCGGCGGCGGCGACUACCAUGACUCUGCUCCUGGCCCUCCUCUGUGUCCAGCCCGCCCGCCCGCACCCCGCCCACCAGCCCCCUUCACCCGGCCGCCCACUUCUCACCACCACCACAUCCCCGGGGCGGCAGGGCGGCGAGGAGAGCGGGUGGUCACUGAAGGACACGCUGCUGCGGCUGGACGACCUGCUGCAGCGACACAACGAUUACAACGACGUGAUGCUCGAGUCGGGGGAGGAGGACGACCAACUCUCCAGGCUGCUGUACCGGUUGCAACACGGGGACAGGGUGCGUGAGGGGUGGUACGACACGGAACCCACGCUGCCACCCCUAGCUAACCAGAGAUUGGACACCGCCACCCUCAACCAGCGAGGCAGACGUGAGCACAGGCCCGAGUCUACUGGGUCUACUAAACUUGCCGCCAGAGCCCCAACCCAGAAGGAGAAGAAAGCAAAGAAGAUCAAAGGGAAGAGGGGAAAUGGCAAGAGAACCAAAUAGAACGGAGACGGGAUACCAAGAAGCUGUGGCAAUGGGUGAUGACAAGCACUCAACCACAGCACAGGAGCAGCACAGCACGGAGAAACACAAACACUGAACGCAGGAGGAACACAAACCACGGAACGAAAUGGUGUCUAUCAGAGGGGUGUUCCUAUCACCACUACCACUGCAACGGCCACCAAACCUGCAACUUCUGUGCUCAACCCGACACCAACCAAGCUUCCCCUAACAACCAUCUCCAUCACUCCCCCAAUGGAAGGUUCGGAGGAGUAUGGUUGUGGUUGUGAUGAUGCAGAUGCCUUCAAUACCCUUCUCCCCUGGCGCUCAGCUCAUACUAUUCUCAAGACAUUUCAUACAGUAGUGAUCGCUAUUGCUUAUUCAUUCCCAUUACUUGUUCGCUUUUCCACACAUUAUAUUUAUUUGUAUAUAUGAUUCUUUAGAUUUAUCAGGCAGAGAAAGACAGCCAAAAAGUACAGUCAACUCUAUGGCUUGCUGGCUCUGGACUGUGAUUUUUUUCCUUUCUUUCUCUUUGUAUAACUGAUGGUGUACUUGACUGAAGAGUUUAUAUGUCUAAAUUAUCCUACAGUCGGAAAGCCAACGCUAUGAAUGUAGAAAAGAAUAAAAUCUUAAAAGUAUUACUACAUCGUUUUAUUGCAGUCAUCAACCCUUACCCUAUCCACCAGCCCAUACAUCAACCCUCCCCUAUCCACAAAUCCAUACAUCACCCUUCCUUCUAUCAGCCAGUCAAUACAUCAACCCUUCCCUUGUCCACCAGCCCAUACGUCAACCCUCCCUCUAACCCCAAAUCCAUACAUCACCCUUCCUUCUAUCAAUCAGUCAAUGCAUCAACCCUUCCCUUGUCCACCAGCUCAUACAUGAACCCUCCCUUUCUUCACAGGUUCAUAUGUACAUCAAACCAUAUUCUAUCUACAAGUUCAUCAACUCCUCCCUUUGUCCACCAGUACAUCCUUCCCCCCCUCACACACCAGUCCAUCCAUCAACCAUUCUUGGUCCUGAAUACCACCUAUCAACCUGAACUCAAGAUUCUCUCUCUAAAAAGAGGAUCACAGAUGAGCUCUGAGGGGCAGCAUGAGCCAAGCAGGAUGGUGUCAUUAAAAACACUUCCCUGCACCAUAACAGGCAGGGGCUGAUCAUCAGACCCCACCAAGAAAGCCUACCAGCACCACAGGCCAAAAAAAUAUAUAUAUAUGUAUAUCAGUCACUUCCAGAUGACCACUCAAUGUGUUCUACUUUUCUACUCUACUUAAGGCUAACCAAAGCUCACCUGGAGGUUCUAGUCCUAAUGAAGCUCCACCUGGCCUCCCAACCAGGUGUCUUGACAAUCUGUGAAGCAUUAUUUUGGAAUAUGAACGCAGAAAAGCAGACUGCAUAUUAAUUAACACAUGAAGAGGAAAUACUAGACACAUCAACUACAUUGGAGCAAAUUCUUAUUAGAGAGUAAGCUAUAUUUAGUUACCUUCAAGGGUAAGUAAUAGCAUGAUAUCUUCCAUAAUUUAUUUAUAAAGGAAUAUACUUAUAAGCUAUAAACUUUUUUCUCCAUUAAGAUGGCUAACAUAGAUUCAAUAAAAUAUGUGAAAUGUUUUACUUUAAUAGACAUAGAAAUCAAAUCUUUGGUUUCCUAAAUACCUUGGCAAUAUGGUGAUUGACAAUGCCAAUUAUAACAUUUUUUUAUGUUAAACUGAAGAUAUGUAUUAUCCAUAUUUACAAUUAAUGUACAGCUGUAAGGAAAACAAAGGUGAGCACACUACCUGUACUGACGCCUGUAUGAGCCUGAAUAAUGAGGAACACCUGGCCGCUGACGAGCCUCUGCCUAACACCUUCACCUUGAGCGUGUUCUGAGCCUCUGCCGGGAGACAAAAAGAAGUCCUCCGGUGCAUGUCUUGCCACCACAAACAACGGCCUCCUCCCCGCCCUGCCCUGCCCCACCUCAUUACAUCAUGCAGGCCACAGUAUCAACUAAACAGUACUGGCUGAAUCAUUAUACCUUGUGUGAAAAGUUCCUUGCAAAAAGACAUCAGAGGAAAAAUACUAUAUGAAAGACUUGUCCUCAAAAUAUUAUGUGAUAAAUAUUCGUGUAGUGUUGUAUGUAACUUCUCAAACAGGUCUGUCUGCCUUCCACAAUCAGUUACACCAUGAAUGUCUGUCCAUCCAUCAGUGUGGGUACUUGAAACAACCUACGUCCACAGACAUGUUGAGUAACCACGGGAUGCUUCGUUAACACUCACGUCUGUUUCUGCCACUCAGCAUAAAGUUACAGAAAGAAACUACGAGACAUGAUGGAAUGAAACCUGCUCCUCCUCCUAUUAGCUGUAGCAAUAACAGCAUCAAAGAUCAAUAAGAAGCUCAACUGUAUAUGUAUAGCACCCUUUCAUCAAAGCUCUCGCAGAAAUCAAAAUAAAACCCUCCCGAUCUGAAACAUUUAUGGUAAGUCCAAAAAGCUUACUGUGAUAUGAAAACUACUCGAUAGAAAAUAACUUGCACAGGAAAAGAUGCGGCACUUGCGUGAUUAUUAUUAUUAUUAGUAUCAUUAUUAGCCUAUUGAAGAGUUACUGGCUACAGGCACUAUUUAGUGAACGGUCUUUGCCAGGCUCCCACACACCACGACACAGAACACACACACCAGCACAACAUAGACACACCAAGAUGCACAUACACACAAAAUCAGUACAUGGAUCUAAACUGCUGGAGACUUACACAUAAAGAAGUCUUUCAUCCCAAACUGAUCACUAAGAAAUAUUUAUCUACCCUGGCAGACCUUACCAUACACACUGAGCUGCUGUGAGGCUGUGACGUGGCUUCAUACACACCCACACACACACAUACGCACACAAACGCAUCAGCUCUACAGGGUGGGCGUCAUCUGGAGCUCAGUAAAUACCGUUCCUGAAAUACUGCACUUGGCAGGCGUUAGGACCUGCCUGCUUAAAGAGUUCUGACAGAGAGUAGCAGACACGACUAGAUGCUCCUCCUUUUCCUUGUAUAAUCAUAUUUUUUGUUUCUAAUGUUGUUGAUUACCAUCUUUUGCUCUUGCUCAAAGAUGAUUCACUUCCUCUGAUAGGUAUCAUUAUAUGACUCAAAUAUGAUUAACCUCUUAUGAUUAUUCCUGUUUUAUUCUCUUAGUUAUGUUCUCAUAGUUGACAAAUAAUCAACAUUUCAGGCCACUGGGGACUGGGCUCCUAAACAAUACACCAACAAAAAUACCAAAUAUUAACAGUGAUAAAUAAAUAAGAAUAAUAAUGCCUUAUUAUUUGUUUCCUCUGCAUAUUGCAUGAAGAUAUUUUACUCUUUCAACAACUUUUGUGUGAUCAUAAAUGUUUGCUAUUUUACUAAAGAAAUAAAGAUCUGUACCAUUUCUUUAUACUUCUGCUGAGUUUCUUGAAGUAUAUCUAUAGUGUAAACUUUGAUAAUAUUUAUAAACUUUAUUUACUCUUAAAUAAACAAUAUUGUAUAUAAUAAUAAAUAAUCACAGGGCAUGUUCAAAUUGCACGAUGAAACUGUAUGAGGAACAUUAGUUGUCUUCAAAUUCAAUUAUCUUAUUGGUUAGUUUAGCUCCUGUAAUCACUGUUUUUAUAUCAGCAACCUGUCUUCUAGCACACCUCAGCACAGCUUCCAUGUGAGGUUCAAAACACAUUCUUAAUUCAGCUGUCAUCAAAUGCUUGGCAAACAAUAGCAGAAGGCCACCAAGAGUAAUAUCAACAUAUCUGGAUGACACAAAGAGUAUUAUAUGAAAUGUGAAAUCCAAAGUGCAGGUGAUAUAACCAUCAAGCAAUGCUGUGAAUGAUAACCCAGCCAUGAACAACUAACUGUGAAGCAACCACUACACCAUCAUUAUUUUAGUUAGCAAGAUGGGGGGACGAGCCCACACAACAGUAAAACCAUCAAAGAAAGGACUGGCCAGUGAAGAAAGUUAGAUCACUCUUACACUCUGUAACCCAAAUCCUCAAAAUGGAUCAAGUUACAUUAUCAGACACACAAACUUAGCAAUGCUCAAGUGAUUAAAAUAGUUAGAGAAAGAGAGCACCUUCAUAUUCAAAGUGGUGUGGCCAUUGCUCAUUCAAGGUGGAAAACAGAAUUUCCAAUCCAGUGAAGGACAAGACAACCAGAGUCAUUGGUUCUGCCAGCAGCAUCCUCCUACCAGCUGGCAUGCCUUCUCUAGACCUCCUACUUUGCCAAUGCAGGAAAUUUUGUUUCUAAUGAUGAUGACAAGUGAUAUGGAAAGCUGUCUUGGCAUAACGUACUCAUAAAAUCCUUGAGUAUUCUACACACACACACACACACAAGUACUCAUAAUAAGUAGAUAUUAAGGUUGUCUGAAUAAAGUGUUGUUGCCCAUCAGUAUCAAUGUAUAGAAAGUCAGUAUGAGAUGCUUAACACUUGUAUCGGGAUUCUGCCACAAGCAAUGAAAACAUUCACAUAUAAACUCAACUAACUGCUGCUGCUGUAUGCACUUAGUGGAUCUGCAAUGGUCAGUGCAUGAAACCCAAACACUGACCAGUUAUAAAACUGCUUAUAAGGUGGUAGGUAAUAAGAGUAAACAUGUCCUGCUGCCAGUAACACAAUGAAUUAAAGGACCCUGUCGUGGCAAUAAUGUUGCUGAAAGAGGAAAAUGUUUUCAUAGCAUAAUUUGAGCCUAACCGAUUCGCAUAAUACCGGGAAAUGCAAAAUAUCCAAUAAUUAGCUUCAGUGUUUCAUUUACAUAACUAUGUGCUACAAAACUUUGUAAUAAAAAUAUACAAAAACAAUGAACAGCCUGACAAAAGUUACUGCCAUGUAGGUGUGGAGGGCGGUGGAGGCAGCUCCGAGGAGUGAGAGCGAGGAGAGAGGGCAAUGAGAGAGUAAGAGAUGACGGUUCAAAGCUGACGGGCUAUAUGGAGGGCCCAGCGUCUUCUGUACAGGUAUUAAAUACACUAAUGAUGAAACAUUUAUGGUAUGAUACAAUAUUUCGUAUAUGGUGGUCAGAACACCAAGAUGAUGUAAGAAAUCAGAUUAUGAUGCAAUACCUCUUCCUUGGUAUUCUGAAUAUACUGAGACAUGAAUAUGGCAUCUGUAACUACAAAGCUUUUCUUACAUCCUCCUUGUCAGAGAACCAAAACGAGAUGUCCGACUCCCUACUGCCAGUCCAUGCAACUCUCCGUCAUACCUCAACCUUCCACCCUCCACAUGCACACCUUCAAUCCAUGCCACCAAAUGUUCAACCACCUCAUCAGUGUUUCAAUCAGUCUUCCCUCUCUUGCUUCCAAAGUACAAAAUACUCCAUUUUCGAAAACACAUCAACCAAACAAAGAGUGAUUCUGGUGUAAAAAAAAAAAAAAAAAAAACAAAA